GGUAAACAUUGGACUGAUGGAUGAUUAUCAACUCCAUCAUCAGGUUACGGAAGAGGAGAAGGUGGGUGAGGAAGAUUCGGGGGAUUUCCCUCCUCCUUUGGCUCGCGGGAGCUUGAACUCUUUUUAAGUCGGCCACCACACCAUGGCUAAUGGCCCCCGCUGAGCCUGCUGUCUCAUUCCCCACAUCAAGCCCAUCGUCCCUAAAUCAAACCAUAGAAAAUUGGGCUUAAAAUAUUGGGGAGAGGCCCCCCAAAAAAAGACCCAAAAGCUGCAUCUGUCGCCGGCUUACAUGAAAGUUGGGCUCACGAGGAGUGGCGGUCACAUCGUUCCUCACUCGCUGUAGAUCUGAGACAUGAAAAAGAUUCAGGCUGGUUCCUCUUUGGUUUCAUAGCCCGUAAGAAGCAAGAUCGAGUGGACUGCGGGAGAACUAGUUGUCGUUCGAUAUGUAUUGGCUGGUAGUGCAAGAUGGAUGCGGUGUGCCAGCGGUCAUGAGCAGGAAGAGGGAGAAAUGUACAGCUGGUGAUGCAGAGGUGAGGAUACUGAACAAUGCGGCUAGAUCAGGACCAACCUUCCUGCAACACACACACACACACACACACGUCACACAAACACACACCACCAGCAGUCCUUCUGCUGUGCUGUCUGCAUUCUGUCAGUCCGUCUGAAAAAUGCAUGUGACGCAACUGAAAAAUUCAGAACAUCCAGGCGUGAUUCCAGUGGGCAGAAUGCAAAUCAUUGUGUAUGGGAUGCUGUAAACUUUGAGCUUUGGCAGAGUUUGGUGUGGAGGAUGAAGGAAGCAUUGUGUAUGUUAGAAAGGGGAGGUGUAAGGGGGGUCAGUAUGAGUGAUGCAAGGGUGUCUGUCUGGGUGCAAAGGGAAUCUGAAUAUUGCAUCUUUGCAAUAUUGUUUUGCAUUGUUUGACAUUUUAGAUGAUAAGACAUAUACAGAUGGCUAUCCAUGCAUCAGAUAACAAGAGCAUUUUUGAUACAACCCCUGCAGGAUCCCAAACUGUCCGUGCGAACAAUAGAGAAGCAUCAGUGUGUCUGGCAGAAAGUGCUAUACAGACAACCGCAUUGCUCGAAACCAGCAUCAGGACAUAAUUAUAAGCUUUUCAAAUAAGAAAGCAAUUUCGAAAAUAUGCAAGAAGUUAAUUAUCAUUUUUGUUAAGGGAAAACAGGAUAGAUGGAUUUGGGGAGGGGGAGUUUUUAUACAAGAAUACAGAAAGGGGGGUGUUUAUACAAAGAGCAGGUUUUUCAUUGUGCGAAAAUAUAAACACAGAUGAGCUGUGUCUGUGAUUUGUUCAUGCUUUUCACUUCACGCGGCAGGGAUGCGCAGGCUGACGUGCCCCCUUUGCAUUCGAUGUAAAUAGGCAGCGUGGACGCUGUAUGAUGAGAUUAUAUUCCACCCAUUUCUCUCCGUCUAUUCUUUCUUUCAGGACUAUUAUAGUGUUUUAAGCUGCCUUUGAUUCAGCUGGGCUUUUUUCAGCAAGCACACAUGAGCAAGUGUUUUCGUCCUCUGAAUUGAUGUGUGCCAUGUUUUAGUUUCCCUGCUUAUUGUGUUUUCAAAUCAAGGGAUCUGCCAGUCAAAAUAUUUAAUCACUAGUUUAUUACAUUUUGAAAUAAAUAGUGCGUAAAAUAAAUUAUUUCUGAUGGAGAACAUUAACUGCAUGCACGGCCAAGGAAAGAUUAUAAAUUAAUUACAUUUAUAAAUAUAUUGAUUAAAUAUAAGUCAUGUAUAAAGUAGUCAUGUGACACAUUUGUUAAUAUCAGUUUAUUUGUGGUUAUAAUGCAUGUUAACAAAAAUAUUAAAUUUUGAAAUGAUAGAUAUUAAACAUUUAUCAUUCAGUUUUUAAAUUAAGUUAAUGGCUUAUUUUUAUAUUUUCCAGCACAAACCCACUGUAACAUACUAACAAUAGCAAAGUGCAUUUUUUGUGACAUGGCCCUAACAAAGCUGCCAUUAUUAUGAGAACACAAAUAGUUAGGCUAUUUCAGUGCAAUGCAAUGCAUAAAUAAAGAGCAACACUUACAUUAUUUUAAACAAUACUAAACUGCCAUUAUAUUUUUCUAUUUUAUUAAAUCGUAUUAAUGACUAUUACAAUGUUUUUGUCAGUGGAUUUUGCUAUUUUUCAUGAACAUUUAUUAGUGCUAACUGUUAUUUUUGUAUUAAUCUACCCUGAAGCAAAAGAUAAACAAAUCAAAGCACCGUUAAAAGAUGAAAAGUGUAACGACAACAAUAAACAGCAACUAAAUGCUGUACAUCUCACAUCAGAGAACUGAACACAUCUCCAUCAAUUUUUUCUGCUGUUGCAUAUGCUGAGAUCUGCCUUUUAUCCGUUCUUUGUUUGCAGAAGAUGGGAGGGGGGUAUCUGUGUACAACACAGACAUAUUAGUGUGUACGGAAGUGACUGUGCAGUUUAUUUUAUUAUUAUUCAAAUAUUAUCCUGUUUAUAAUAAUGAUUUAUUGUUAUGAGUAUUUCUCUAAAUCCGUUUCGUUUAAUUUACACAUUAAUCAAGGUUGAAUUUGUCAUUGGCAUGUGCAAAAAGUUUGUUUUUAAAUUACCAGCAUUGUAAGAAGCUGAAAAUAUAAACGUUUUAUUGUAAGCACAAUAAAAGCUUUGAAUUAAAUUAAAUUAUUAAAAUGCCUUUACAAUAAUAAAAACACUGUUAUCAUAGUGUGGGUGAUUUGCCCAAGCAAAUAAGGAUAAAAUGAUAAUAAAGACAUGUGAUAGGAUAAAAUUAGCAUAAAAUAGAAAAGGUGAAAUAACAAGCAUAAUUUCUCUCUUUUUUAAAACUCAAUUUUCUUUUCUCUGACAUGUGAUGCACAGACAUUUUUUUCAAGCGUCCAGCUAAUAUUCUGAAAGUUUAAAUGCUGUCUUCAUAACUUGGUUUCCUUUAUUUAAUCACACGGCACUACAAUGAAUUGAUCCGGGAAUCUUGAACUUUAUUCAGUAUUGGAGAUCCCAAUAGCAUCAAUUGGGAUAAAAGUGGUGGUCUGAAUGUGACGGAGUCUUUAGUCUGUGUUUUUGAACCUCACAAUGAACCAGAACACAAAAGAGGCUGGUCCGCACACAGAUAUUGUUGCCCGUGCAACCUUACAAAGCGGAGAGCCUUUGAAGAGAAUUUUGAGUCGGCAUGCUGAAAAGAAGCUUUGUAUUUGUAUAUGCGUGCGAGAUUACUCUGAGAUGUAUGGGGCUCGUUGGAUAUUUGGUUUUUAGGCAGCCCUAUAAAAGUUGUAGAGCAUGUCAAAUUAAUCAGGAAAUACUGUGAGAGACUUUUAUGCUAUAUUUGCUGGUGGUGUUUUUAGUUUUUAAAUAAACUAAAGAUAGUGUCUAAAAUGUUGUCACUGUUUUUGUUAAUGUUGUGGUAGAAUAUAAUUUAAUGUUUUUAUGUAUCAUAUUUACAUUUAUUUUCCAAGCAUUAAAAAUUGUAUUUUGCUAUUAAAAUGACUUGAGAGGCAUAAAGGAUAGGUCAGUGAUUUUAUUUGACCUUUCACUACAAAGAAUAGUGCAUACAGAUAUUGAUUUAUAUUCAUCCUAAAUGUCAGUCCUAAUCCCAAACAUGUUUCCUAAUUGUUAUUUUUGAUUCCAAUAUUUCAUUGUGAUUUUCUUUUGUUUUAUAAAAAUACAGAAAUUAUUUCAUUUAAAUUAUUGCAUACCACUAUUUAAAAAAAAAAUGUGUAUGCUGUGUUUUGUCCCGAAAAAUCCUUUACAAUAUUUAUUACUAUAACAAUAUAUAUAGAAUUAAAUGUGUUUAGGUCAUGGUGGUUUUAAAUGAAUGUGUUUGGCAUUUUCUGUUAUAUCCUAUUUGAACAAUGUGUUUUAAUGUCUUACACUGCCGCUGAUCUUUAAAAAUGAAUAAAUAUUACUAAACAUUAAGCAGCUUUUCCCGCUUGUUUACUUUUGCUAACACAAUUCUAUAAAUAAUGAUUGAUCAUUUUAUAUUGUUUAAAAUUGUGUGUUAUGGAAACCUGUACCUAAACAUAAUUUUCUUUUUGCAGAAAUAAAUCAUUCUUACAAUAA